UGUCUGGGAAACUGCCCGAUGGAGCCUGAUAACUACUGGAAACGGUAGCUAAUACCGCAUAACGUCGCAAGACCAAAGUGGGGGACCUCCGGGCCUCACACCAUCGGAUGUGCCCAGAUGGGAUUAGCUAGUAGGCGGGGUAACGGCCCACCACGGCGACGAUCCCUAGCUGGUCUGAGAGGAUGACCAGCCACACUGGAACUGAGACACGGUCCAGACUCCUACGGGAGGCAGCAGUGGGGAAUAUUGCACAAUGGGCGCAAGCCUGAUGCAGCCAUGCCGCGUGUAUCUUGAAGGCCUUCGGGUUGUAAAGUACUUUCAGCGGGGAGGAAGGUGGUGAGGUUAAUAACCUCAUCAAUUGACAUUACCCGCAGAAGAAGCACCGGCUAACUCCGUGCCAGCAGCCGCGGUAAUACGGAGGGUGCAAGCGUUAAUCGGAAUUACUGGGCGUAAAGCGCACGCAGGCGGUCUGUUAAGUCAGAUGUGAAAU
rnacentral:rRNA from 1 species